rnacentral:rRNA from 2 species
UUAUUGGAGAGUUUGAUCCUGGCUCAGGAUGAACGCUGGCGGCGUGCCUAAUACAUGCAAGUCGAGCGAAUGGAUUGAGAGCUUGCUCUCAAGAAGUUAGCGGCGGACGGGUGAGUAACACGUGGGUAACCUGCCCAUAAGACUGGGAUAACUCCGGGAAACCGGGGCUAAUACCGGAUAAUAUUUUGAACUGCAUGGUUCGAAAUUGAAAGGCGGCUUCGGCUGUCACUUAUGGAUGGACCCGCGUCGCAUUAGCUAG